AUUGAACGCUGGCGGCAGGCCUAACACAUGCAAGUCGAACGAGUGGCGGACGGGUGAGUAAUGUCUGGGAAACUGCCUGAUGGAGGGGGAUAACUACUGGAAACGGUAGCUAAUACCGCAUACCAUCAGAUGUGCCCAGAUGGGAUUAGCUUGUUGGUGGGGUAACGGCUCACCAAGGCGACGAUCCCUAGCUGGUCUGAGAGGAUGACCGGCCCCCUGGGAACUGAGACACGGUCCAGACUCCUACGGGAGGCAGCAGAGGGGAAUAUGGAACAAUGGGCGCAAGCAUGAUGCAGCCAUGCCGCGUGUAGGAAGAAGGCCUUCGGGUUGUAAAGUACUUUCAGCGGUGAGGCGUUACCCGCAGAAGAAGCAACGGCUAACUCAGUGCCAGCAGCCGAGGUAAUAC
rnacentral:rRNA from 1 species